GUGUCGUGUCCCGUGUCCGUGUCCGAUUUUUCUGAAUUUCUUUAAAACAGUUUUUAUAAAUCAAUUUUCUGAUGCAUCAUCAGUUUUUGAAUUAGUUAAAAGAAAUAAGGUGUCAUCAGUAUUACUGAUGCAUCAUCAGUUUCUUUAAUACUGAUUUCAAAUAAAAAAUUAGUUAAAAGAAAUUGAGUUUUACACAGAAAUUAAAGUAAUACUGAUGCAUCAUUGGUUUUUGAAUUGUUCGCUACAUUUCCUGUACUAAUAAGCGCUUAUAUUUGUCACACUGUUGGUAUGAUAAAUUUUCAGGUAUCGUCCAUAUUUUGUUCACUCUCAGAUAUGAAUAAUUGAUGUAUGCUGCUUAGUUUACUUAAUCAGAAGCUUCUUUGGAUUCCUUCUAUUUGGAGAAGAAACUCUUGCUGCUUAGUUUUUUAUUCUAUGCCGUACAUCUUGUGCUUAUCAUUCCAGUACUCUUCUAUGUAGUGCUGAUCAACAUUGAUGGACUCAUGUUUUCUUCUUCAUCAACUGAAUCUUUGAAUGUUGAUAACUUCAGAUUUUUCUCUAUUACUUUUUCCCUUAUUGGGAGAAAAUUUCAUACCUAGUAUUUGGGAUAUAUUCCAGUUCAUUGGAUCAACUACUGCUAUUUGUAUAGCAUUUAUAUUUCCAGUUGCAAUCACUCUCUGGGAUAAACACAACAUAGCAACUAAAACAUACAACAUUCUAUCGAUCUUUAUGAUAGUCAUUUCAGUAACGUCAAGUGCUGUGGCUAUAUACAACACAAGAAAUGAAGCUUGUAGAUAUUUUUAGACCUGCCAUUUUUAGGAAGGAACUUUACUUGAUUCCAACCUAAUGGAGAGCUGCUAGAAGGCUUGAUCGAAUUCUGGUAACUGAAGGGUGGUGGGAUGUAUGGGGCUGCGGUUCAGUGGCCUCUCUCUAGAGAAGUUUCUAAUCAUUGCUCUGUCAUUCUUAAAUAUGUUAAUCAGAUGUGGGAAGCCAAAUCUUUUCAAUUCAAUAAAUAUUUUCUCUCUUUAUGAGAUAGGUUUAACAUCAUGGAUGAAUUUGUUAUGAUUUGACAAGUUGUAACGUGGUCUAUAGGAAUAGGGUGUAAAAUAAAACUUUUUCUUAUUCUUUUUUGACGGUUUCAGAAUUCUAUCAUUUGUCUCAAUUUAAUAGUAGAUUAAGAGUGUACUUGCUUCAAAGGUUUUUUUUUAGUUUAUUAGAUUUUUGUUCUGGGCUGUUUUUCCAUUUUAGAUAGACACUUCUUGUA